UCGGCACUGUACAGACGCUUCACAGAGGUUCUUGCAAAGCGCCGCUGUCAAGAAAUUGAAAACUGGUCGACGAAGUUGGAAUCUGAACUCAAAAAUCUUGGAAGGGUGUCACAAGAUGUGAUAGAUUUAUUAAUCAAGUAGUGAUCAUUGUUUUUAUUCAAGUAAUUAAUUAUUGGAUUAUCACUUAUACAUUUAUUUUUAGCACAAGUUAAUUUAAUUCUCCCCCAUCCAGAAAUGAAGCUACCCAGAAUGUACAGCACAGUUAAAUCUUUCUUAUGUUAAUGCAGUAUGCAAAUUAAUGAUUUGGUUGAGUAAUUUUGUUAGCACUUAGAUGCCAUGUGCAUUCCCCAGGGCACUGCUAUUUUAGCCUUCACUGUGUGCAGUCACCUUAUAUUCCUUUGGGAGUAUAUACAGUGGUACUGUGUGUACCAGGGCGCGGCCCAUGUUUUAAAAGCCAGUUUUGUCAGUAAACUGGCUUUUCCCUGUGUGGGACUACGGGGGUUUGCCUGUCCUUAGUGGACUACGAGCCCAUUGAUCCUGUGUGGACUGGGGGUAAACACUACGCACCCGACUAUGUGAGUUCUGUGUGAACUACCACCGCAUGUGCACGUCUAAUGGUCCUGUGUGAAAGCCGACUGUGCCGUGUCAUCAGGUAUGUACACAGUUUCUGUGUGAAAUUGCAGUAUGUAACCCCGUAAUUCCUUCCAUCGGCGAGGUGAGCUAUCCGACAAGGGAAGUACGCACCUCGAUCCAUCGUCCUAAAUGGAGACGCCGGACGUCCAGGAGUAGGCCCAUCUAUAGACCCUUACCUGAGCUCAGUGGUGGAGACAGAUCGCGUGAGUUUCACAGUGUCUUACUCACGGGGUAGACUUACCUCAGAAGGAACACCCUACCAGACAUUACAGCCGACAACGUCGGGAGUUCAGCUCUCCUAGAACUGUCCGCUCGUCCCCAGGGAUCAAGAUUAAUUGCGUUGAUUGUAAAUAGAUAAUUAUUGUGGUGGUGGGUAAGUUGUAAUAUUAAUUGAAUAAUUGAAUAAUAUUAGUAUUAAGUUCUGAUCGUA